UUUAAACAUAUACGUAAGUGCUAGCUUUGGUUAUGGAAUUUCCUUAACAAUAACCAUAAUCGAACUUCGGUUCGGUUAAUUGGUAAUGAGACUCGGUUAUGGUUUUGUUUAAAUUAAUUUUAAUUAAUUAACCGAUCUAAGUUCAAACAAAAUUUAAACUAAAUGAAUUUAUCAUAGUUACAAUCGUUUUUAAAAUAUAAAAAAAGAAAGAAAUUAACAUACACAUUCAUAAAAUGAGUCAAAUUUUAUACAAUAAUUAUUUUUUAAAUAUUUUGAAACUAAUUAUAUAACAUACAAAGCUUUCGUAUAUGAUUUUUCUGUGUAUAGAGUUUGAUUUCUUGAACAUUUCUGUAACGUUCCAUUACUUUUGGUUAUGGGACACAUUUAACUAUAUCCAUAACCGACUUAUGGGUUAAUCAAAUAACAUUAUCCAUAACCGUCAGUUAAUAUCGGUUAUCGGUUAAUUCGGUUUGGUGGCGGUUCGGUUAUCAGUUAAUAUUGGUUAACGGUUAAGGAUUGUUCAGCCCUAAUCGAUGAAACAAUAGUGAUAACUAAUAA
rnacentral:lncRNA from 1 species